GUCGAAUUGGUUGAAAGAAAACAUUUUUAUAUUAUACAUACAACACGGGGCUCAGGAUGGCAGUGCCAGCUGUGGGCGGGGGACACAGGGUCCGUCCCUCCCCUGGGGCUCCGGGUGCUGGGUCCCAGCCAGGUCUCCCUGGGGCGUGGGGCAAGCCUGGAGGAGCGGGUCAGACAAGCGGGCUUCCCCCUGGUGCUGUCGCUGCUUCACCGCCUAAAGGCGGCCGUACCCUCUGCUGCUGAGCUCCGCCUCCACUCGGGUCCUCGCUGUCCUGGGGGUCAAGGCUGCACGCAGGGUCCUGUUUGCUGAAGGGCUCGAUGACGCACGGGGGUGGGAGAUGACGAGGCUCGCCACAGCCCGCGGCCAGGGCCCCCAGCCCCGAGGUCACUGGCCCAAAAGCUGCUGCCAGGGACCACGCCCUCAGUAGGGAUAAGGGGACACGGCGAUGAGCAGGACGAAGACGCUCUGGUGGCGCGGCGCGGCGGCGCGCACGGUGGUCCUACCACUCAGAGGAGCCUGAGGACCCAUGAUCGUGAAGUUCUAGAACACUGGAGCAAGAAAGGCCAUACAGGUUGCCAAUCCAGGGCGGCUCCUGAGUUUCAUCUCAAAGGCUAAUUGCAGCUGAUUCACAGUGGCUACUGGAGAAGCUGCGUUGAGUAGGAUUCAGAGGCUGUCUUUAGGCCGGCCGGGCCUCAAUCCAUGAGGGAACCCGAGAAGCGGCAGCAUAUGUGUGCCCUCCCUGACCUGGUGCCCCUUCAUCAGACAAGAAACCGGACAGGAAAAGACACUUGUCCAAGGAUAAUCAAAGUGCCAGCAGCCAGGCCAGGCCAGGCCCCAGACCUUUGGAGUGUGGCUCAAGCUUUUGCCCUGGUCUCAUGGCUCCUUCUGCCAAGAGAGUUCUGCUUUUCCCUGGAGGCCCAGAGUCCCAGUGGCACAGAGAACCUCCUCUACUGAACCCUGGAAACCCUGGAGUAUGGACAGCCCCACAUCAUGCCCCUGUCACCUUCACAGCCGGCCCCAUGAGGGGCCACCCGGAAGCCAGGCCUGCAGUCGGGGAGGCAGUGGUAGGACCCAAAGAGGUUCACGCAGCGCUGUCCCUCCUGGCAGAGAUCUGCGUCAGCCAGGCUCUCGGGGACGACACCACUGACCACCACGUCAAGGAGCAGGAGGCCAUUGGAAUCCAGGCCCCGGGCCUCCUGGGUCAUCAUGAGCAGCUCUCCUGCAAUCCAUCCCCGCCCAGCCUGGAGUCAGCAUGGGGGAGAGGCCCUGGGCUCAGGCCUUAGCCCCAUGUGGCCCACUGGGAAGGAGAUGCCCCCACCCCGCUCACCUGUGGCAAACUCCACAUGCGACUCCUGUAGGAAGCUGCCACCCGUCAGAGAGUGGCCAUUCAGGACAUCCCCAUUCUCUCCAGCCAGGGCCCAGUAGAUGGGGGCGAUGCUGACCACGAGUACCCGCAUCAGGGGCCCUGCAUGGGAUGGGCGUGGAGGCUGGGUCAGGGCCAGAUCCUGAGGGCUGCCACUCUCCCGCUCAAGAUCCCUCUGUAGCUCCCUGUUGCCCCAGGAGGGCUUAGCCCCUUCCCUCCCUGCUCAGGCCCAGCCCUGUGAUCACCUGAGUCAGUUAUUGGAUCAGAACCUGGGAAGGGGUGAAGGCAAAUAUCCAGUCUGUGGAGUGGUUGUGAAAACGAACAAAAUACAUUUAUACAAAGAAGGGCACGUGACUUGUUGAUAUUCAACUCAGUUGAACAAAUCUUGAGAGUGACUGGGUCACCAACUGAGCCUGGGACAUAUGUGCUGGACCAAGCUGAAAACCAGACAAGUCUCCUACCUUGCAGACACCUUCCAGAAGAGCCUGGGAGAGGAAAGCCACUGACUUUGAAAAUAGAGCCAAAAAAUCGCUCUGGACAUG
rnacentral:lncRNA from 1 species